CAGUAGCCGCGGUAAUACGUAGGUCCCGAGCGUUGUCCGGAUUUAUUGGGCGUAAAGCGAGCGCAGGCGGUUAGAUAAGUCUGAAGUUAAAGGCUGUGGCUUAACCAUAGUACGCUUUGGAAACUGUUUAACUUGAGUGCAGAAGGGGAGAGUGGAAUUCCAUGUGUAGCGGUGAAAUGCGUAGAUAUAUGGAGGAACACCGGUGGCGAAAGCGGCUCUCUGGUCUGUAACUGACGCUGAGGCUCGAAAGCGUGGGGAGCAAACAGGAUUAGAUACCCCGGUAGUCCCUGUCUCUUAUACA
rnacentral:rRNA from 1 species